rnacentral:rRNA from 1 species
UACGGGGGGGGCAAGCGUUACUCGGAAUUACUGGGCGUAAAGCGUGCGCAGGCGGUUGUGCAAGACCGAUGUGAAAUCCCCGGGCUUAACCUGGGAAUGGCAUUGGUGACUGCACGGCUAGAGUGUGUCAGAGGGGGGUAGAAUUCCACGUGUAGCAGUGAAAUGCGUAGAGAUGUGGAGGAAUACCGAUGGCGAAGGCAGCCCCCUGGGAUAACACUGACGCUCAUGCACGAAAGCGUGGGGAGCAAACAGG